AACGAACGCUGGCGGCAUGCCUAACACAUGCAAGUCGAACGAGACCUUCGGGUCUAGUGGCGCACGGGUGCGUAACGCGUGGGAACCUGCCCUUAGGUUCGGAAUAACUCCCCGAAAGGGGUGCUAAUACCGGAUAAUGUCUUCGGACCAAAGAUUUAUCGCCUUUGGAUGGGCCCGCGUUGGAUUAGCUGGUUGGUAGGGUAAAAGCCUACCAAGGCGACGAUCCAUAGCUGGUCUGAGAGGAUGAUCAGCCACACUGGGACUGAGACACGGCCCAGACUCCGACGGGAGGGAGCAGAGGGGAAUAUUGGAGGAUGGGCGAAAGCCUGAUACAGCAACGCCGGGGGAGUGAUGAAGGCCGUAGGGUUGUAAAGCUCUUUUACCCGGGAUGAUAAUGACAGUACCGGGAGAAUAAGCUCCGGCUAACUACGUG
rnacentral:rRNA from 1 species